CGGCGAGCGCCUGGGCCGGGCCGGGGCGGGCCGCGGCGUCCCGGCCUCGGCGGCCCUCGGCGGCCCUGGGCCCGCGGGGCGGGCUUGGCGGCGCUCUCCUGUGGAGGCGGCAGGCCCCUCGUCGCAGACUCACAGCAUUCUCUGAUUUGGAAAGGGAAGGGACACACGCGGAUCAUCGCGUCCAGCUCUUGGCCCUACGCAUCACCAUCCCCAAGAGUCGCCCCUGUGCUCGAGAUGGAAACUCAUCUGGAGCUCUGUCAGGUUCCGCUAGGGGGUUGUCGGCGCGAGGAGCGGAGCCGCUGCCGAGCAGGGAGUGCCGCUCCUUGCCCCGCUGCUGCUCGGCAGCCCGGCGGGCAGCCGGGGCUCCUGGCCCCCAGUCUGAAGCUAAAGCUGCGCCGCGGUGAGGCGAAGGGCUUGGCACCAGUGCGCGUCAGGGACAGAUCUGGCCUUGUUCAGCCCGGUAAACAAGCAGUGCGGCUUUGCUGCGGUCUGCCUGCACAGUGCUUGCAGUUUGGAAAACUCACACAAACAUGCUGCAGUGACACUGGAAACUUCUUCCAGGAAGAGAAAAGAAAGAAACUCCAAAAUAAAAAUAUUCUGAUGCCUCUGAAACAUAAUUACCUAAUAUGCCACUGAUAUCCAGACCACUCAAAGGAUAGGAGAGUAGUGUACUACAUUGCUUGGGCUCACUGCAUGACACAAGCCUCUGUUCAUCAAGAUUUCUGUGGACAGAUCCAUGCAAAUGCAAAAGAAUUUGACUCUUUAUAUUCUUAAGUUUCAGUAGUUUGUCAGGGUCAGGUGUAAUUGGUCCUGCCAAAUUUCUCAGCCUCUGGAGUGAUAAAAUGCAUCAUCACUUGCUUAGAUUUUGAAAGUCCAAUCUGUGUUAGGAGUCCAAACUUUACAGCUUAUCUAAUGAUACCUGGCAUUCUUGUUUGUCUUCUAUUAUAAUUAAACAUGUUUUAGUAUAAUGUAACAAUAAACGGAAUUAUCCUAUGAAAUAACCUUUUUCA
rnacentral:lncRNA from 1 species